CUCAUCAAAGUGGUUAGAGAUC
rnacentral:snRNA from 1 species